rnacentral:rRNA from 1 species
GGUGGAGCAUGUGGUUUAAUUCGAUGCAACGCGAAGAACCUUACCUGGUCUUGACAUCCUGAGAACUUUCUAGAAAUAGAUUGGUGCCUUCGGGAACUCAGUGACAGGUGCUGCAUGGCUGUCGUCAGCUCGUGUCGUGAGAUGUUGGGUUAAGUCCCGUAACGAGCGCAACCCCUAUCCUUAUUUGCCAGCACAUCAUGGUGGGAACUAUAAGGAGACUGCCGGUGAUAAACCGGAGGAAGGCGGGGACGACGUCAAGUCAUCAUGGCCCUUACGACCAGGGCUACACACGUGCUACAAUGGGAAGGACAAAGAGCCGCGAAGCCGCGAGGUGUAGCUAAUCUCAGAAACCUUUUCGUAGUCCGGAUUGGAGUCUGCAACUCGACUCCAUGAAGUCGGAAUCGCUAGUAAUCGUAGAUCAGAAUGCUACGGUGAAUACGUUCCCGGGUCUUGUACACACCGCCCGU